AGUGUCUUUUUCCUCUGAAGCAGCCCACUUCCUCCUACCCCUGCUCACCUUGGUUUAAUCUCAAAGGACUCGUUAUCUUCACACAGACCAAUGGAAGGAAACGUGUGAUAUUGCCAUUGUUAAUCUGGGGACCUAAAGUUGAGCUCAAGGAAAAAGUGAGCACACUACCAGGAAAAGGGCGGAAGA